AACCCAUUGAUAAACAUAGCAGUUUCUCUGAAACUGCUAUGUUUAUUAAAAAAUGGGUUAACCCUAGAAGGACCUGGCACCCAGAACACUUCAUUAAGCUGAAGUGGUCUGGGUGCCUAGAGUGGUCCUUUAAGUUCAUAGAUGCAGGUUUCGCCAUAUCCACCAUUUCUAUUAAAUCUGAAACAGAGAGAUUUAUUGUUAAAAUGCGCAUUCUUGGUUUAGAGUGUC